GGUUUAAAUUUUUGAAAUAAAAUUAACAUAUUUCUAAUAAGUUCAUUUGGAUUUUCAAUGUGUUCAAUUUAUAUAUUGGUGAAACGAAUUAAUUCACAGUUGGUAGUGUUGGCUACACUGACAGCGCGCAAUCAACCGAUUUCGCACACGGCAAAGGAAACGAACUAAAUCCGUCGGAAUUUGCACGGAAAUAAAUUCCUAUUUUUUUAUAAGUUACUCGUAUUUUUGCAUAAUUUUAGUUACUGGAUUAUAAAAAGGCGAUGGCGUUGAAUCCACAGUACGAGGAUAUUGGUAAAGGAUUUGUGCAACAAUAUUAUGCGACAUUUGACGACCCCAACCUCAGAGCGAAUGUGGCUAAUUUCUACAGUGCAACAGAAUCAUUCAUGUCCUUUGAGGGCGUACAGAUACAAGGAGCACCCAAAAUAAUGGAAAAAUUAUCUAGUUUAUCUUUCCAAAAAAUCUCAAGAGUUAUAACAGCAGUGGACUCGCAACCAAUGUUCGAUGGUGGAGUAUUAAUCAAUGUAUUGGGCAGACUUAAGACCGAUGAUGACCAGCCGCAUGCGUACAUUCAAACAUUUGUUCUUAAACCAGUGGGUGUUAGUUUCUUCGUACAACAUGAUAUUUUCAGGCUAUCUCUACACGACGUAUAGUUUCAAGGAAAUUAUGCACUGCGUGCACUGCCCCCAAAACACGCGCUUGACAGUGAACGCUACAGCUACUGCUGCGUUAACUACAUAAAUGAAAAUUUUAAUAAAAACUAUGCUACUUUGCUAACGUAUGUUACCUUAAAUAACGAUAAACAGAAAAAACGAGAAAUGGCAACAAUUUAGAAUAAUAAAUUUGACUGACUAGUGACUGUGUCGCUCUUACACGUCGGCACUGCCGCCCACAUCGCCUUUUUCAUCGCUGCCGAAUAGCUAUGAAGAGCGAUCAAUUGAAGCCGGUGGACAUAAAUAAACGUGAUUGUAUCUGUGAUGACGAUCCACCACAUGCUUUCUCACAAGUCUUCGUCUUGCGGCCAAUCGGCAGUACAUUUUUCUGUGCACACGACAUCUUUC